rnacentral:rRNA from 1 species
UACCAGCACCCCGAGUGGUAGGCACGAUUAUUGGGCCUAAAGCAUCCGUAGCCGGCCUUACAAGUCCCCUGUUAAAUCCAACUGCUUAACAGAUGGGCUGCGGAGGAUACUAUAAGACUAGGAGGCAGGAGAGGCAAGCGGUACUCAGUGGGUAGGGGUAAAAUCCGUUGAUCCAUUGAAGACCACCAGUGGCGAAGGCGGCUUGCCAGAAUGCGCUCGACGGUGAGAGAUGAAAGCUGGGGGAGCAAACCGG